GAUGAACGCUAGCGGCAGGCUUAACACAUGCAAGUCGAGGGGUAUUGGUUUUCGGACCAAGAGACCGGCGCACGGGUGCGUAACGCGUAUGCAAUCUACCUUUUGCAGAGGGAUAGCCCAGAGAAAUUUGGAUUAAUACCUCAUAGUAUAGUACUUUGGCAUCAAGGAACUAUUAAAGUCACAACGGCAAAAGAUGAGCAUGCGUCCCAUUAGCUAGUUGGUAAGGUAACGGCUUACCAAGGCUACGAUGGGUAGGGGUCCUGAGAGGGAGAUCCCCCCACACUGGUACUGAGACACGGACCAGACUCCUACGGGAGGCAGCAGUGAGGAAUAUUGGACAAUGGGCGCAAGCCUGAUCCAGCCAUGCCGCGUGCAGGAUGACGGUCCUAUGGAUUGUAAACUGCUUUAUACAGGAAGAAACACUCCGACGUGUCGGAGCUUGACGGUACUGUAAGAAUAAGGAUCGGCU
rnacentral:rRNA from 1 species